rnacentral:rRNA from 1 species
UACGUAGGGGGCGAGCGUUGUCCGGAAUCAUUGGGCGUAAAGAGCGCGUAGGCGGUCCGGUAAGUCGGUUGUGAAAACUGGGGGGCUCAACCCUCAGAGGCCGACCGAUACUGUCGGGCUAGAGUCCGGAAGAGGCGAGUGGAAUUCCUGGUGUAGCGGUGAAAUGCGCAGAUAUCAGGAGGAACACCAAUGGCGAAGGCAGCUCGCUGGGGACGGUACUGACGCUGAGGCGCGAAAGCGUGGGGGAGCAAACAGG